AGUUUUUAAAGUAGUUCACUUCAUAAAAAAAUAAAAUGCUUCGCUGGGCGCAGCUUGAUACGACCGCAGAGGUCGAACCCUGAACAGUUGGGGCAAGUAUGGACACAACAUUCAAGCUUGAUACAGCUCUGAAUUUGGAUUGUAAUUAAAUAUUUGACACAGCAUAGGUUUCUGACACAGAAUGAAUGUGGUCUAAGAACUUAAAAAUUUUAAAUUGGACAUUCACUUAUUAUGGUCCAAUAUCCAAAAUCUAAAUACAUGGUUAGAUUCAGCAUAUCAAAGAACCCCAAGAAUUCAAUUUUUGAUGAAAUCAAACAAAGUUUAAUUUUGGACCCUUUUGAUCUCAAUGUGGACAAAGUUGAUAACAGGGCCCAAAAAUCAAAAAUCUAAAUACAUGGUUAGAUUCAGCAUAUCAAAGAACCCCAUAUAUUCAAUUUUUGUUGAAAUCAAACAAAGUUUAAUUUUGGACCCCGAUUUGGACCAACUUGAAAACUGGGCCCAUAAUCAAAACUCUAAACACAUGUUUAGAUUCAGCAUAUCAAAGAACCCUAAAAAUUCAAUUUUUGUUAAAAUCAAACUAAGUUUAAUUUUGGACCCUUUGCACCUUUAUGUAGACCAAUUUGAAAACGGAACCAAAAAUUAAGAAUCUAAAUACGUGGUUAGAUUCUGCAUAUCAAAGAACCCCAAUAAUUCAAUUUUUGAUAAAAUCAAACAAAGUUAAAUUUUGGACCCUUUGGACCUCAAUGUGGACCAAUUUAAAAACGGGGCCCAAAAUCCAAAAACUUAAUACACGGUUAGAUUCAGCAUAUGAAAGAACCCCAUAUAUUCAAUUUUUUUAUUGAAAUCAAACAAAGUUUAAUUUUGGACCCCGAUUUGGACCAACUUGAAAACUGGGCCCAUAAUCAAAAAUCUAAAUACAUGGUUAGAUUCAGCAUAUCAAAGAACUACAUAUAUUCAAUUUUUGUUGAAAUCAAACAAAGUUAAAUUUUGAACCCCGAUUUGGACCAACUUGAAAACUGGGCCCAUAAUCAAAAAUCUAAAUGCAUGGUUAGAUUCAGCAUAUCAAAGAACCCCAUAUAUUCAAUUUUUGUUGAAAUCAAACUAAGUUUAAUUUUGGACCCUGUGGACUUUUAUGUAGACCAAUUUGAAAACGGAACCAAAAAUUAAGAAUCUAAAUACAUGGUUAGAUUCGGCAUAUCAAAGAACCCCAAUAAUUCAAUUUUUGAUGAAAUCAAACAAAGUUAAAUUUUGGACCCUUUGGACCUCAAUGUGGACCAAUUUAAAAACGGUGCCCAAAAUCCAAAAACUUAAUACAUGGUUAGAUUCAGCAUAUUAAAGAACCCCAAGAAUUCAAGAAUAAAACCCCAUUGAAAUUGAUCAAGAAAUAAGCAACUUAUACGAAGUAUAUUCUUUUGCACAAUACUGUGCAAUUGAAUAUUUCUUGCUAUUGCGCAAUACUGUACAAUUGACAAUUUCUUGCUAUUGCGCAAUAUUGUGCUAUUGGAUAUUUCUUGCUAUUGCGCAAUACUGUGCAAUUGAAGAUUUCUUGCUAAUGCGCAAUACUGUGCAAUUGAAGAUUUCUUGCUAUGGUGCAAUACUGUGCAAUUGAAAAUUUCUUGCUAUUGCACAAUACUUAUUGUAUAAUAAUUUACACAUCCUGUUUGGUGUGUAUCUCCUUCCAUAUCAUUAUUAUUUGCUUUUAAAUAUAAAUCAGAAAUAACCAACUUAAAAUGGAAAAUUUUAAAAGAAAAUAAAAGGAAAAAAAGAAGAAAAAAAAAUCCCCCCCCCCAAAUUUUUUGAACCCCCUUAUGAUUCAUCACCCCCAAACUCAAUCCCAGCCUUCCCUUUGUGGUAUGGUACCUUGCAGUACAAUUUCAGAGAGAUCCAUACACUUGAACACAAGUUAUUGUCUGGAAACUAGAAAAAUGCUUAUUUUUGGCCCCUUUUUGGCCCCCAAUUCCUAAACGUUUCAGGCAAUUACCCCCAAACUCAAUUCCAGCUUUCCCUUUGUGAUAUGGAACCUUGUAGUACAAUUUAAGAAAUAUCCGAACACUUACACACAAGUAAUUGUCAUGAAACUAGAAAAAUGCUUGUUUUUUUCCCCUUUUUUGGCCCCUAAUUCCUAAAAUUUUGAGGCAAUUACCCCCAAAAUCAAUUACAGCCUUCCCUAUGUGAUAUGGAACCUUGUGGUACAAUGUCUGAGAGAUCCAUUCACUUACACACAAGUUAUUGUCUGGAAGUUACAAAAAUGCUUAUUUUUGGCCCCUUUUUGGCCCCUAAUUCCUUAACUGUUGGUACCAUAACCCCCAAAAUCAAUCCCAACCUUCCUUUCGUGGUAUUGAACCUUAUGGUAAAAUUUCAUAGAGAUCCAUUCACUUAAACUAAAGUUAGAGUGCGAAAACCAAUGUGUCUUCGGACGACGCCGGACGACGACGACGACGACGCCAACGUCAUACCAAUAUACGACCAAAAAUUUUUUAAUUUUUGCGGUCGUAUAAAAA